rnacentral:rRNA from 1 species
UUUGAGAGUUGACGUGGCUCAGACGAAAGCGGCGCGUGCAAAUACACAAUUGAGCCUCGAGUUUUUUUUUGGUACUGUACCAUACUGAUACACACACCGAACGUGAGUAACGCGUGGGGAAUCUCCUUGAGCGGAGGAAAACAUUUGAACGAAUGCUCACCGCUAAAAACUGUAAAAACCAAUUUUAAUUUAAAUCAAUUGAAAUCACUCAAAAGACCCGCGUGUAUAGCUAUUGUGAGGUAAAGCUCACAAGCACAAGCAACACCAGAACUAACACAGCCGCGCUGAGAUGAUUGCACAUUGGGUGACUGAGACACGCCCAAACUCCUACGAGGCCGCAUAGAAUCUCGGCAAUGGAACGAAAGUCUGAAGACAACGCCGCGUGAGUGAAGAAGGUUCUUCGAUGCGUAAAACUCUUGUGAAGAGAAGCAACGUUGUGAGAGUGAAACGCUCAUCAAGUACGCUAACUACCCAGAUAAGGGACGGCAACUACUGCCAGCAGAUCCCGUAAAUAGUAGCCCGAACGGCCGGAUUUAUGCGCGUAAGCGAAGCAGCAGUGGUAUACAGUCUGUGUAAAAGCAGUGGCUCAACCAGUGAUGCAAAUUGGAAACUGGUAGACUAGUCGCGUAGAGGAGAAGGGAAAUUCCAUGUGUGCGGUGAAAAGCGUAGAUAAUGGGGGAACAUCACCGGUGCCGGAAAGCGGCUCCUGCCUGUAAAACUGACACUACAGAGCCGAACGCGUGGGACAAAACAGGAUAUUACCUUGGAGUCCCACGCCGUAAACGAUGAUCCUAGAUGUAAAAAACAGGGACUAUAAUUUGCUGUAUCGCAGCGACCAUAAGUCACUCCGCCUGGGAGUACGACCGCAAGGUUGAACCAAAAGAAUGGACGGGAACGCACAAGCGUGAAGCAUGUUUAACGACACAAAGCGAAGACCUACCCAUCUGGACAUAACUCGUGCUAUUCCUAGAGUAAAGGAACUUUCCUCGGGACAAACACAAUCGGAUAUGCAGGUGGUGCAUGUUGUUCGUCAGCUCGGUCGUGAAUGUUGGGUUCAGUCCCGCACGAGCGGCCCCAGUUAGUUGCCAUCAUUAAUUGCCACUCUAACGAACUGCCGGGAAAACGCAGAGGUGGGGUGACCGGUCAAAUCAUCCAUGCCUCGUAUUGGGCACACACCUGCUACAAUGAUGUACAACGAGUCCAGAGACGUGUAUUUGCUAAUCCUUCCAAACCUCCAGCUCGCGAGUGGCUGCAACAUCGCCUACAGAAGUCGAAUCGCUAGGAAUCGCGGAUCACAACGCGCGUAAUAAUCCCAGGGCCUUACAACACUCGUCCGUCACCCGACGGGAGUUGGAUACCCGAAGUAGGUUGCCUUAACCCAAAGGGCGCUCCUAAGGUAAGACGAUGACUGGGUCGAAGUCGUUACAAGGAGCCGUAUCGGAAGUCGGUGGAUCACUCCUU